rnacentral:rRNA from 1 species
GACGAACGCUGGCGGCGUGCUUAACACAUGCAAGUCGAACGGUAAGGCCCUUCGGGGUACACGAGUGGCGAACGGGUGAGUAACACGUGGGUGAUCUGCCCUGCACUUCGGGAUAAGCCUGGGAAACUGGGUCUAAUACCGGAUAGGACUCCGGACUGCAUGGUCUGGGGUGGAAAGCUUUUGCGGUGUGGGAUGGGCCCGCGGCCUAUCAGCUUGUUGGUGGGGUGAUGGCCUACCAAGGCGACGACGGGUAGCCGGCCUGAGAGGGUGACCGGCCACACUGGGACUGGGAUACGGCCGAGACUCCUACGGGAGGCAGCAGUGGGGAAUAUUGCACAAUGGGCGCAAGCCUGAUGCAGCGACGCCGCGUGAGGGAUGACGGCCUUCGGGUUGUAAACCUCUUUCAGCACAGACGAAGCGCAAGUGACGGUAUGUGCAGAAGAAGGACCGGCCAACUACGUGCCAGCCGCCGCAGUAA